AAAUCCUCGUCCGUGGGCAGAUAUCACACACGAUUGCGCAACAUCCCAUGCUAUAAAAGCCUCUGCAUUUCGCAAACAAGCGCUGAAACCAGAAGCUCAGCAUGACUCAGACGCGGGAAGAGCUCCUCGACGAUGAUCUCGAACAGACAGAGAUGGAUCCUGAUGAGCCUGUUGUUGAAGAUGAAGCUGAUGAUGACAACGAUGACGACGAUGAUGACAAAGAUGAAGAAGAAGAAGAGGGCCAGGAUGAGUAUGAAAAGGAUGGGUUUAUAGUGGAUGAUGUGGAUGAAGAAGAAGAACAGGACGAGGAGGAAGAUGACAGGGGAAGUGAUGAAGAGGUGAAACAUAAGAGGAAAAAGAGGAGGAAGAGAGAAUCUGAGAACUAUCUCCUGGACGAAGAUGACUAUGUGUUGCUUCAGGACAACAAUAUUACGGGGUUUCACCGGCCCAAACCUGGGAGCAAAAAGUUUAAACGUUUGAAAAAAGCUGGGAGGGAUACUGAGCGAGAAGAAGGAUCUGGAUUUUCCGAUGGAGAAGAAGUUGAUAGAAGUGGUCACAGUGCCCGGACUGAUGAGGAAAAACUUAAGCACAGCUUAUUUGGUGAUGAUGAAGGGGCAGCACUUGAGGAUAUUGCCGAAGAGGAGGAACAGCCAGAAGAAGAGGAUGGGGAUAUUGGUGAAGAUGAUGAGAUGGCAGAUUUUAUUGUGGAUGAAGAAGAAGUUGAUGACAAUGGCGCUCCUGUGAGGAGGAGGAAACCAAUUAAAAAGAAGUCAAGGCAAGCACCUGGUGUGUCCUCAUCUGCAUUACAGGAAGCUCAUGACAUAUUUGGGGAUGUUGAUGAACUCCUACUGCUUCGCAAGCGAGGUCUUCAGAAAGGUGGCAGUUAUGAUGAUUCUGGAGAGUGGAGGGAAAAGAGGCUUGAGGAUGAAUUUGAACCCUCUAUUCUUGCGGAGAAGUAUAUGACUGAAAAGGAUGAUCGGAUACGAGAAAUUGAUGUGCCUGAGAGGAUCCAGUUAUCUGAAGAAGUUACUGGCCCUGUUCCGACAGAUGACACAAGCAUAGAAGAAGAGAGCACCUGGAUAUAUAACCAGCUUACUACCUCUGAUGGUUCCCCAUUUUUUGGCAACAUGCAUCUUGUGGACGAAAUUAACAAGGAAGACAUUGGAAAUGUAUUAGGGAUGCUACAUGUCCAGAAGUUUGAUAUUCCUUUUAUUGCUACUUAUCGGAAGGAGCUCUGCCUUAGCCUACUGAAAGACCCUGAGCAAGAUUUGGCAGAUGGUGAAGAUAGAGCUGAGAGAAUGCCUAAGCUGAAGUGGCACAAGAAACUUUGGGCUGUCCAGAACCUUGAUAAAAAGUGGUUGCUACUUCAAAAGCGGAAGAAUGCUCUUCAGUUGUACUACAAUAAGCGCUUUCAGGAAGAAGCUCGAAGGAUUGACGAUGAGACGAGGCUUGCAUUGAAUCAGCAGCUUUUCAACUCUAUUCUUGAGUCUCUUAAGGUUGCUGAAUCUGAAAGAGAGGUUGAUGAUGUUGAUGCAAAGUUUAAUUUGCAUUUCCCUCCAGGUGAAGUGGAAGUGGAAGAAGGGCAGUUUAAGAGGCCAAAACGAAAAUCUCUGUAUAGUAUUUGCAGUAAGGCUGGUCUAUGGGAGGUAGCAAACAAAUUCGGGUUUAGUUCAGAACAAUUUGGGUUGCUCCUAAACCUGGAAAAGAUGCGGGUGGAUGAAUUGGAAGAUGCCAAGGAAACUCCUGAUGAAAUAGCUGCGAACUUUACAUGCGCGAUGUUUGAGACUCCUCAAGAUGUGCUCAAAGGUGCCAGGCACAUGGCGGCAGUAGAGAUCAGCUGUGAGCCAUCUGUCAGGAAACAUGUUCGCAGUAUAUUCAUGGAGAAAGCUGUGGUCUCAACUAGUCCUACACCUGAUGGGAAAACUGCAAUAGAUUAUUUUCAUCAGUUCGCAACUGUCAAGUGGUUGGAUGAGAAGCCAUUCUAUCGAUUCAAAGAUGCACAGUGGCUUCUUAUCCAAAAAGCAGAAGAAGAGAAACUCCUUCAGGUUACCAUAAAAUUGCCAGAAAAUGUUCAAACUAAGUUAAUAAGUGAUUCAAAUGAUUAUUACAUCAGUGAUGGAGUUAGUAAGUCUGCUCAGCUUUGGAACGAGCAGCGGAAGUUGAUAUUGAAGGACGCUUUCUUUAGUUUUCUUCUUCCUUCAAUGGAAAAGGAAGCCCGAUCCCUCUUGACGGCAAGAGCCAAGAACUGGCUGCUUAUGGAAUAUGGGAAACAGUUGUGGAAUAGAGUAUCUGUUGCACCAUAUCAGCGGAAGGACACUGAUGCUGGCUCUGAGGAUGAUGCUGCACCAAGGGUCAUGGCCUGUUGUUGGGGCCCUGGAAAGCCAGCAACUACUUUUGUGAUGUUGGAUUCAUCUGGAGAAAUGCUGGAUGUGUUGUAUACAGGGUCCCUCAGUCUUCGCUCUCCAAGUGCUAACGAGCAGCAGCGCAAGAAAAAUGACCAACAACGUCUAUUGAAGUUUAUGACAGACCACCAGCCUCAUGUUGUCAUUUUGGGAGCAGUGAAUUUGAAUUGUAAACGUCUGAAGGAUGACAUCUAUGAGGUCAUUUUUAAAAUAGUCGAGGAGCAUCCUAGAGAAGUAGGUCAAGAGAUUGAUGCAGUAAGUGUUGCUUAUGGAGACGAAUCCCUGCCUCGUCUUUACGAGAAUUCACAGAUUUCUUCAGAUCAGCUAACUGCGCAACCAGGCAUUGUUAAGCGUGCUGUGGCUCUUGGUCGUUACCUUCAAAAUCCUUUGGCCAUGAUUGCUACACUAUGUGGGCCAGGGAGGGAGAUAUUGUCAUGGAAGCUCAAUACUUUAGAGCACUUCCUUACCCCUGAUGAGAAGUAUGGGGUGGUUGAACAUGUAAUGAUAGAUGCCACCAACCAAGUAGGUGUUGACAUUAAUUUGGCUGCAAGCCAUGAAUGGCUGUUUUCUCCUUUACAAUUUGUUUCGGGGCUUGGACCCCGAAAGGCAUCUGCUUUACAGAAAGCGCUGGCAAGAGCUGGGGUCGUUUUCAGUCGAAAAGAGAUUCCGAUGAACGGAGUUCUUAAGAAGAAGGUGUUCAUUAAUGCCGUUGGUUUUUUGCGUGUCCGUCGGACUGGGCUGGCAAAUGCAAGCAGUCAUUUUAUGGACUUGUUGGAUGAUACAAGAAUUCAUCCAGAGUCAUAUGACCUUGCAAAGAAUAUGGCCAAGGUUGUCUAUGAUGAAGAUGUUCAAGAGGAUCCAAAUGAGAUGGAUGAUGAAGCUCAGGAGAUGGCAAUCGACCAUGUCAUGCGUAACCCGAGGCUGCUGAAAGUUCUUGAUAUCGGUGAAUAUGCUAACAGCGUUGAGGAGCGGCUAGGGACGAGAAAAAGAGAGACGUUAAUGGACAUAAAGAUGGAGUUGUUGCAUGGAUUUCAAGACUGGCGUACUCCUUACACUGAACCUAGUCAGGACGAGGAGUUCUAUAUGCUUUCUGGUGAAACUGAGGAAACCCUUGAAGAAGGAAGAACUGUUCAGGUGAUGGUUCGCAGGGUUACACCUCAACGUGCAACUUGCGGGCUCGACUCUGGCUUGACGGGUGUGAUUUUGAGGGAUGAACUUUCGGAAGAUGGGAAUGUCGAUCCAAUGGACAGCAUAAGUGAAGGAAGCAUACUUACCUGCAAGAUUAAAGGAGUCCAAAAGAAUAGAUUGCAGGUGAUUCUAACCUGUAGAGGAGAUGAUCUAAUUAUUAAACGGUUAAGGAAGAUCCAGGAUUUGGAAUCGUUCUAUCGUGAACCAAAGGGCAAUUCACAGAGUGACCAAGAUACAGCUCGCAAGGAGAAGGAGCUUGCAAAGAAGCAUUUCAAGCCAAGGAUGAUUGCUCAUCGCAAUUUUAAAAAUUGGACCACUGAUGAAGCAGUGCAGUUCCUUUCUGACAAGGAUGCUGGUGAAAGCAUUAUUCGUCCAAGUUCCAGAGGGCCAUCAUAUUUGACUCUAACUCUGAAAAUCUAUGAUGGAGUUUAUGCUCACAAAGACAUAGUUGAGGGUGGAAAAGAUCACAAGGACAUUACAAGCUUGCUUCGUCUUGGGAAGACAUUAAAAAUAGACGAUGAAACGUUUGAGGAUCUUGAUGAGGUCGUGGAUCGAUAUGUUGAUCCACUUGUAACCAACCUGAAGGUCAUGCUUCAAUACCGCAAAUUCAAGAAGGGCACGAAAGCGGAAGUCGACGAUCUUUUAAGGAUGGAGAAGUCAGAGUAUCCGAUGAGGAUAGUUUACUGUUUUGGAAUUUCUCAUGAGCAUCCAGGAACCAUUAUUCUGUCAUAUAUACGGAGCACAAAUCCACAUCACGAGUAUAUUGGUCUGUAUCCUAAGGGCUUCAAGUUCCGGAAGCGGAUGUUUGAAAGCAUUGACCGGCUUGUGGCGUAUUUCCAGAAGCAUAUUGAUGAUCUGCAGCAUGAAUCAAUGCCAUCAAUCCGAUCAGUGGCUGCGAUGGUGCCAAUGAAAAGCCCUAUGACUGGGGGUUCCUCUGGCGGGGGAUCUGUAGGCAGUGGUUGGGGCGGUUCCACAGCCAAUAGCAGUGAUGGGGGUUGGAGAGGUUCGGACAGGGACCGAUCUUCUACACCAGGUUCGAGAACAGGUAGAAAUGAUUACAGGAAUAGUGGUGGUCGUGGCGGACACCCGAGCGGGCUGCCUAGACCAUAUGGGCGUGGCCGGGGGCGUGGGUCAUACCACCAUGGAAGAGGAAACCACCACAGUGGCAGCGAGGGACAUGAUUCUGGUUAUGGUUCUUCUUCCAAAUGGGGCUCAGGUGCAAAGGAAGACGACAAUGAGCUGAGCAGCUUCCCGGGUGCCAAAGUCCAGAAUUCACCUGGUAGAGAGGCUUUUCCUGGGGGUUGGGGCAAUAGCGGUAGUGGCGGCGGUGACAACUGGGGCAAUGGUGGAAAUGAUGGUGGCAGCAAUUGGGGCAAUGACGGUAGCAGUGGUUGGGGCAGCAGAGGAGGCAGUGGAGGAGGCAGUGGCAGGGGUGGCAGCGGCGGUUGGAGUGGUGGCAACAGCGGUGGCGGAGAUGGAUGGGGGGGUGGGGAUGGUGGCAGCGGCACUGGUGGUAAUUCUAGUUGGGAUGCUUCUAAAAGAGCAGGUCCCUCACGGCAGGAGAGUGGCAAUGAUGAGGGUUGGAACCGGCGCAGGGCAGGCAGCAGAACAUAGUGAUCUCAUCUCCUUGUGCCAUCCUAAAUAGAGAUGUUUUGAUGACUAGCUAUAAAACCAUGAUAUUUUCAUAAAAAGUUGGUAUUGGAUCACCCUUUUUUUCGUUCGAGGGCUGAUGUAACAGAAACCCCUUGUUAAUGUAUAGUGGUUUAUGAAUGAGAAAUGCUGGUACCAUGGAGCUUCUGUACUCAUCAUAUACCUCGCAAAAAUCAGCGAUGAUAGUGACUUGAUCUGGUGUGGCCGUCUCGUCAUAAUCCAAAACUUGCUAACCUACCCAUAUGCUGGCUAGCAAUUGGGUGGCUAUCAGUGUCCGAUGCCCUUCCUUUCAAGUGGUGGCCUACCACAUCAGCAGUCCUGAUCACACCAUGUUUUCGAUAGGGGAGAGGAAGAGGAUGUUGAGGGGGCAGGGCAUUUGUACC